rnacentral:rRNA from 1 species
GACAGAGGAUGCAAGUGUUAUCCGGAAUGAUUGGGCGUAAGCGCGCGCAGGCGGUGCGGUAAGUCCGUCGUGAAAUCUCCCGGCUCAACUGGGAGGGUGCGGUGGAGACUGCCGGACUGGAGGCACUCAGAGGCCGGUGGAAUUCCCGGUGUAGUGGUAGAAAUGCGUAGAGAUGGGAGGAACACCAGUGGCGAAGGCGGCCGGCUGGGGGUGACCGUG